AUACGGAGGAUGCGAGCGUUAUCCGGAUUUAUUGGGUUUAAAGGGAGCGCAGGCGGCACUUCAAGCGUGACGUUAAAUUUCGGGGCUCACCCCCGUUGUGCGUCGCAAACUGUUGUGCUUGAGUAGGCGGCAGGGAGGCGGAAUUCGCGGUGUAGCGGUGAAAUGCUUAGAUAUCGCGAGGAACUCCGAUAGCGCAGGCAGCCUCCCGUUGCUUUACUGACGCUCAUGCUCGAAGGUGCGGGUAUCGAACAGGAUUAGAUACCCUGGUAGUCCGCACUGUAAACGAUGGAUGCCCGCUGUUGGGCCUUUUGGGUUCAGUGGCCAAGAGAAAUCGUUAAGCAUCCCACCUGGGGAGUACGCCGGCAACGGUGAAACUCAAAGGAAUUGACGGGG
rnacentral:rRNA from 1 species